UACGAAGGGUGCAAGCGUUACUCGGAAUUACUGGGCGUAAAGCGUGCGUAGGUGGUUUGUUAAGUCUGAUGUGAAAGCCCUGGGCUCAACCUGGGAAUUGCAUUGGAUACUGGCAGGCUAGAGUGCGGUAGAGGAUGGCGGAAUUCCCGGUGUAGCAGUGAAAUGCGUAGAGAUCGGGAGGAACAUCUGUGGCGAAGGCGGCCAUCUGGACAAGCACUGACACUGAGGCACGAAAGCGUGGGGAGCAAACAGG
rnacentral:rRNA from 1 species